ensembl:miRNA
UGAGGCAGGAGAAUUGCUUGAACCCAGGAAAUGGAGGCUGCAGUGAGCCGAGAUCGUGCCACUGUACUCCAGCCUGGGCAACAGAGCAAGACUCCAUCU